AGCUGAGGCAUUGGAGCAGGGCAUUUUGAUAGUGGCUGGAGGGCAGGCAGCUCAACCUCUAAACCCCCCUGGUCUGGGCACCAAGUCCUGUCCUGGGCACGGGACACAGUCCUCCAGCGAGACCAAACCCAGCUUCUCUACAGCACCAGGAAGAAGGCAAGCUGGGCCACCAGGGCGCGGCCCCAGGAAGGAAAAUCCUCCAUGGUCCUGUUGACAGAUGUGGUAUCAAAUGAAUUGUUCUCUGCUUAGACACGACUUUGAUAUUUAUUGGUUCAAAUUGCUCGGCUGACUCAGUCUUGCGGACUCUGAUUACACUGGACCUAUCCAAGAUCUGAGAUCAUCAACUCAUCUCAAAAUCCUUAAGCUGACCACAGCAGCAUCGUCCCUUUUGCAGUGUAAGGGAGCCCAGCUGGGACAAUGUGUGAAUCAACGCAUGAAGGAGUGAGUGAGCAGCUAACCAAAUGAAAGAAUACUCAGAUAUCUGGGGUACAGUUCCCCUCCAGGUUUGCACAGCAUCUGCUGAAGUCUCCACUAGAAACUCAAUGGAAGGUCCCCACCGGAAACUGAAAGUCUCCUAGAGUGGCUUUGAGUUGCGGUUUCACCCUCCCUGCAGAUCCACAGGGGAGGCUGGGGCAGAUGGAAAAUACCAACUUGAUGGUCUGUGGCCACACCAUGCUGCUCCCCAAGGCCCCUCAGAAUUUCACUGCCCAAUAUGGUAGCGCCCAGCCUGAAACGUGGCCAGUGUGAAUUGAGAUGGGCUGGAAAUGCACCAGACUUCCAAGAGCUGGACAAAAACCAUAUACGUUUUCCAUCCAGCUGUUUGGCAUUGGAUACUGCUGCCUCUGCUUGACUUGAGAAUGUGUGAGAAAAGCUGUGUUUAGACAACUGAAAACCAUGAGCUUGAAAGUAGUGGGGGCACACUCUUGGAGACUCCAGUUGCUCACCAGCUUGGACAAACCACUGGACUCAAAUGAUCAGGUAGAAAUUCAUCACUGGAGAGAACACAGUGGAAUGGCUUCAGCGAAAACUCACUCUGAAGGUCUUCAGGGCAACUUUAAGACUUGCCCCUGGCCGGGCACAGUGGCUUAUGCCUAUAAUCCCAGCACUUUGGGAGGCCGAGGCGGGUGGAUCACCUGAGGUCAGGAGUUCAAGACCAGCCUGGCCAAUAUGGCGAAACCCUGUCUCUACUAAAAAUCCAAAAAAUUAGCCGGGCGUGGUCGUGGGCGCCUGUAAUCCCAGCAACUCGAGAGGCUGAGGCAGGAGAAUUGCCUGAACCCGGGAGGCAGAGUUUGAAGACAGCCGAGAUUGCACCACUGGGCAACAAGAGCAAAACUCCAUCUCAAAAAAAAAAAAAAAAAAAAAAAUACUUGCCCCGGCUUUUUGUGUGAUGGACUUUCUAUUUACAGACGUGAUAUUUAUCUAUGACUUUACUCAGAGUCUGGCUCAUAGACCAGAAGGACUGGUAUCUCCUGGAGCUUGCAGGAAAUGCAAAAUCUCAAACCCCUGUAUUAGUCAGGGUUCUCCAGAGAAGUAGAGCCAAUGGGAUAGAGACAGGGAUAGGGAUGAUAGAGAUGGAGAUAGAGGUAGAGAUCCAUUGAUUCCUCUGUUAAUAAAUUGGCUCAUGCAGUUGUGACAAUUUCGAAAUCUGCAAGGUAUGUCAGCAAGCUGGAGACCCAGGGAACAGUUGAUGUUGCACCUUGAGUACAAAGGCAGUGUGUCUGGAGCCAUAAUAUCUUCUUGUUAGGAAGACUUUGGUCUUUUCUCUUCUGGCCUUCAACUGCUUGGGUGAGGCCCGUCCCCACUACAGAAGACAAUAGUCUGUUCUACUCAGAGUCUACUGAUUUAAAUGCUCAUCUCAUCCCAAAAAAUACCCUCACAGCAACAUUUAGCCUGUGCAUUUGACCAAACAACUGGGUACCAUGCCCCCCCUCCCAAGUUGACACACAAAAUUGACCAUCAUACCCUCCCCACCCCCAGUCUUACUGAAUGAGAGAGAAUCUGUGCUUCAACAAGAUCCCCAGAAGAGGUAUAAGCGCAGGGAAGUCUGAGAAGCACCACCUUUGAGGCUUAUCCAGGAUGCCCACAUGAGCCUUCUCUGGAUAUGUCAGAUCCCCUUCCUGGCCCCCUAGACACCUCCUCCACUCCCCAAACUUGGAAGCAACAUUGUGGGGAAGCAGGCAGUGAGGCGCUCAGUCUACCACGUUGUGAGAUACACAGCUCCAUCUGUGUAUCAUGAUUUGAUCCAAGGGAAAACAAAAGAUCCAGAAACAUAAGUACUUUUUUGUGAGCUCUCAAAAACUUCCUGUGACAAGAUCAGGUCGUUGAUGCGAGAGCCACACUUGUUUCUUUUUCCUCUUUAUUCUCCACCUCUGACAUAAUACUUAGCAUAAAAAAAAAUCCAAUAAACACCACUGAAUCAAUUAUCUAAGCCUCAGUUUCCCUCUUGUAAUAUGUACUUACCUGGUUGUGGUAGGAAAGACACCAGGCAUGAGAAACACUUAAAAGCCCAGGACCCUGAGCUGGGCACAUGGUAGGUACUCAGGAAGUCAUUGCCGAGUGUUCAGUGCAUGCUUGUUGAAUGAGUAAAUGAGGUCAGGCUUCAGCAUGCAAACACUCGCUAUAAAGCAGGAACCCUGUGCCCUGAGUGCACAAAAUAGAUAUCGAGAAGGAACACAGGCUCAGACAUCAGUGCCAUAUCUGAAGACAUUCAGCUAAUAACAGGAUGGAGUCCAAUCUGCUGGUGUGUGCACACCUGUGCCUGGGUGUCUUUGCUGGUGUGUGCACAUGUGUCUACAUGUGUGGUCGUGAGAGUACACACAGGGGCUGGAGGGUGGGGAAGGGCUUAAUCUAAUCCUGAAAGUGCCAGCAGAACUCUUGGGUGUCCCUCAAAGUCAAGCUUCUUUCCAGGUCAUCGAAGUUUUCACUUGGGUAAUAAUGCACGCAUAAUUAACUGAACAAAUAUAAUGAAUCUAUCUGUAGUGACAUGAUAGUUGGUGCUGAAUCCUAUUAGAGCACAUUUAAUUAAAAAUGCAUUAAACCUUCAAGCUUCUAAACACACCCUGCGCUUCUUCAAAGCCGCCCCUCCGUUAAAGUCUUCCCCACUAUUAACUAUGAGUCAGCCUGUGACCCUUUGGGCAUGACGGGGUGAGGUGAAGUGGCUCUUAAAUGCCUGUGCCAGUAUAUCACAGGCACUAAUGGAUUUAAAUCAGGGAGAUUAAUUCCAUUCAUUCGGCUCCUCAUUUCAGAAACAACUGUCACGCUGAGCCUAAUUGCUGAAGAUGGUUGAAGGCACCAGGAGGCUGGAGUUUCCUGGAGGUGGUUUGUGGCCAACCGUCAAUUACUUGGGCUGCUGUGCAGUGGGGAUAGAAGGAUGAUUAGAAUCCACAGACAACCCAUUGGCCUUUGUUUACCAUUAACUUCUGUUUUCUCCACCAGCCAAGCUCCUCCAGACCCAGGAGAUGGCUCUUCCCUCUGUGUAGCACACUCUUUCCAGUCAAGGGGUCUUGCACUGCUAUUUCCCCUUCUGCUUUGCUUGGUUCAUUCUUACUGACCCUCCAAAUACUGAAGGAAUGAAUGGAGAAAUAAGUAAAUGAGAGAUGUGGCCAAGAGUCUCCAAGAGAGGAAAUUAAAAAAUCCUAUACCUGUGAGGAACUGGCCCACUUGCAAAAGGCGGACUCAUUUGUCACUGUGUUUGCUGGCUGCUCGCACCACACAGUUUCCAGCCUAGGCAUUAUUUCCAACCUCUUUUUCCAAAGGGUCUUUCUAAGGUACAGAAAAUGGACAUAAAAUCGCCCAACGUAGUUGAGAGGUAAGGAGUAAAAGCCGGAAUUUGAACUCCUAAUCUCCUGCCACGAUUUCAUGCUGCCUCUGGGUAAUCUCCCAGCACGUUGCUUAAUCAGCUGCUGAGUCAUUGAGAGCCGGCAGAACCAGCUUCCUGCUGAGGCAGAGUGGGAGGAGGCCCGUCUGGGAGCAGCACACUGAAGGAAGGGAGGAGGAGGUGAUGUUUGGCACAAUCGGAUUGGUUCCCAUGAGGUCCAGGGCUGCGGCUCCUACAGAAGGCACUUUUUGCAUAUGGUAGGCUUCACGGGGUGCAACCUCUGUGUUGUUAGGAGAACCUCGUGCUUGCUAUGAUGCUCUGCUGUCAUUAUCUUGAAAUUCUUAGUCACAUUAAAACACGGGAGCCUACAUGUUUAUUUUGCACUGGAUCCUGCAAAUUAGCCAGUCCUGGUACUGAGGGCAGGUCCCUGGGUGAGUCUCACACAGCCUCCAUCCUUUGGUAAAGCAGCUUUCCUGAUUUAGCAAAUGCCUUACCAGAAAGCCUUUUCCUUGAAGAUGCUUUAACUUUUGUCUUCCCUGGCAAAGCUGUUUCCUUAUGGUAAAGCACCCAGCUCAUAGCUGAUAUUCAAUCCAUGAAGUAGCUCUGUCAGCAGCUGUCAUCAUGAAGACUUUGCAGCCUGCGGGUGGUAGCAUUCUGAAUCGUCAGUCUGUCUCGCUCCUGUAGCAAAUGCACGAUCCGGGAAAGCAUGUCCCAAGCUUUGUUCUGGAGAAGAUUUCUCCAGCUAUCAGAUGGUGUCUGUCAUCACAAUAGCUUAGGAGAUGCUGCUCACUCCAUCCUCCUCACUAAGUGUCACAGUACACUUGGGUAUGUACAAGUCUCUGAGAAGUCCAGCAGCAAAGACACCUUUGUGUUUUGCUGAUUCUAGCCUUUCCUAGACUAGAAGUCUUUUUUUCUAGUCUAGGAAAAGACUGUGGAAUCUUUUCUUUUUUUUCCUGAUACACACAUUCACAUUCCGUGGAACAUUUAGGACGUGGUUAUCUGGUCCUAAAGUAGUAAAGGUGAAGAUGUUGUGGGAGGUGCAAGAAAGAGCAGCAAGGAGUAGAUGGGGCACACUGCAAAGUGCGAUCCCCACAUACCUAAGUUAGUAUCAAUUACUACUAACAAAACUCGGCCAAGACUCUUUUGCAUUCGUUUUGUUUCUCUCUUUUACCCUGAUUAUAUUAAGAAAUAUGACAGGCCUGUGACUCACUGAUUAGACCAUCUUAGUCACUUUGGGUUGUCCCAGCAACAGGAGACUUAACUCUGACCAUAGGUAAGGAGCCCAGAGGACAGGAGAGCAGGGAUUUCUGAGGAUUUAACAAAUGCUUAUAAACAAAUGAUAUCACUUUGAACAAAGUAAUCAAAGUAUCAAAUGCUAUAAACACCACAGUAGGGCAAUGUGUGAAUCAUACUUGUGGUGAGACAUACAUAGAUCAGCUGCAAAGAGGAACUCAAUUCUGCAGAACCUCAGCUGGAGUAACUGAUGUGAAACAUGGACAGGGAAAUGGAAGGAAGUCAGCGGACACGGAAACUCUAGGAACUGAACUUUGACAAGGAACGCCGUCCAUAAUCCCAAGUCCUAUGACUUCAUAGAGGAAAAAAACCCUAGUGGAGCAGAACAGGGCCUCAUAGAGGGGCUGGGGCCUCACUGAGGGCUGGGAAGUUUGAUAGGACUUCCCUUGCUGGUAAGGAACAAAACUGGGUCUCAGGUUCAGGUUUGUAAAGCUAAUUUCAUACAUUUGCAGCAGAUGCUGUCAGUGUCCCUCCCCAAGCCCCUCAGCACUCAGCAUUCAUAGACAUCCUCAUCUUGCAAGCACCUGAGUCUCUCUCUGUAAGGUUUCUGUUGGCCUCAGGGCAGACCAGGGUACCAGGGAGGGCAGACCAGGGUACCAGGGAGCACAGCCCUCAAAGAAAGAUGACAGGAGUUGGUGUAAAUCUCAUGGCUUUCAUGUUACUUAGGGGGACCAAUGCUGAGGCAUGCUUAGCAUGAUCCUCUGUGAGACUGGGCCUCAGGUGUCCGCUGCAGCCGCCUGUUCAUUAGUGUGACAUGCACGGGAUUCCUUCCGUAUCCUGGCCCCUUUCUCUACUUCCCAACCGUGCUUCCUGAGACAUACUCAAAUCCUUGUCUCACACUUGGCUUCUGGGAGAAUCCAACUGCAAAUGCUGUGUUUUAUUUUUUAUUUAUGUAUUUAAUUAUUUGGAGAUAGGGUCUCCCUCUGUCACCCAGGCUGGAGUAAAAUGGCACAAUCCUAGCUCACUGCAAUAUUAAACUCCUGGGCUCCAGUAAUCCUCAGCCUCCAGGAGCUGGAACUACAGUCGUGCACAGCAAUGCCAGCUAAAGUUUCCUUUAAAUUUUUUGUAGAGUCAAGAUCUCACUAUUUCAGUCAGGUCUUGAACUCCUUGCCUCCCAAAGUUCUGGGAUUACAGCACUUGGCCUCCCAAAGUGCUGGGAUUACAGGCGUGAGCCACUGCAUCUGGCUGUUUAUUCCAUUAAAAUGAUUGAAGGAGUCUCUUGCUUUGGGAAUUUUGCUCCCGUGGUGAGAACACUAUGGGAAUGACAUCUCAAGAAUAUGGCUCCUUCAAAUGAAUUUAAAAUGGUCUUUCUAUUUUUGUCCAGUGGUUACAAUAGCUGAUGGGCUCGAGGUAAGGAGAUGCUAAGCUGCCAUUCUCUCCUUCAACCCAUGGCAUUUACUGAGCUUCUAAAUCAGUCAGGCCCUGGGCUGGACCCUGGGCAUGCAGACUGAAUCAGAGCCUUCAGGACUAGCAGGAGAGACAGGUAUAUAUAGUGGCAAGGGCAAUAUUUAUUCACUCAUUCAUUCUUUUUCCUUUUUUAUGUGCCAAAUCUUUAAUGAGGGCCUACCUUGUACUCAGGAACACCAGGAAUAAACAGAAAACAAAAAGAUAUCAUUUCUGGACUCAGUUCACCAUCUAGAGAAAAAAAAAAAAAAAAAAAAAGACCUGAAAUGGACAAAUACAGUACUGUUUGACAAAUGUCACGUAAGAAGAAGCCCAUGAUACUGAGGAUGGUAUAGGAGGGGCCGUAUCCAGGUUGAAGGAGUCAAAUAUGACAGCUGCCGUGAGAAUUACAAUCAGAAAACCAUGACCCGGAUGCUUAUCCUAUUCAUUGCUUGAGCCUGAGAACACAAACACACAGGGUGUGGCUGAAAUUCCUCUGAAAUUGUAUUGAUUUGAGAAAACUGCAAUCUUGUGUUAAAAUGUGAAUCAUACACAAGGAUGCAAAACAGUUACCGCUGACCAUAAAUCUAGGCUAUCAGAAUGGAAUCUGAUGGCUUGUCUACCAGACUGCAUUGUGAAACCAAUCAAAUGGGAGAUAGACUCACCACUUACCAAGUACCUCUGAGACACCAGGCACCCUGUGGGGUGCCCUACUCAUCAUCUUGUUUAACCAGUUGAUUGGGAAUAGCUCCAUUUUACAGAGAAAGACUGUUAGGCAGCUUUCUAAGAUGGCCCUAAUUAUUCCUUCCUUCUGGUAAUCCCCUUCCUUUAAAUGUGGGCUACACUUAAUUACCUGCUUUUAACAAACAGAAUAUAGCAAAAGUGAUGGGAUGUCAGGAGACUGAAUCAGUAACCAAAAACCUCCAGACAAAGAAAAGCCCAGGGCCAGAGGGCUUCACUGGUAAAUUUACCAAACAUUUAAAGAAGAAUUAGCACCAGUCUUUCUCAAACUCCUCAACAAAUUGAAGAGGAGAGAACACUUCUAAAUACACUUUAUGAGGCCAGCAUUACCCUAACAUCAGAGCCAGACAAAGACACAAGAAAAGAAAACUACAGACUAAUAUUUCUAAUGAAUCUUGAUGCACAAAUCCUCAAAAAAGAAGAAAACAUACUAGCAAACAUAAUUCAGCCGCACAUUAAAAGGAUUAAGCACCAUGACAAAGUGGGAUUUAUUCUUAGUAUAAAAGGAUAUUUCAACGUAAAAAAGUCAAUGUAAUAUAUCACAUUAAUAGAAUGAUGAGAAAAAAUCCACAAGAUUAUCCCAAUUGAUGCAUUUAACAAAACUUAAUACUCUUUCAUGAAAAAACACUCAACAAACCAGGAAUACAUGAAACUACCCCAACAUAAGACAGUCCACAAAUGAAAAGCUCACAACCAACAUAAUACUCAUGGUGAAAAGCUGAAAGCUUCCUCUAAGAUCAGGAAUGAGACAAAAAUGUCCACUUUUGAAUCAACCUGUAUUCAACAUAGUAUAAGAAGUCCUCGCCAGAAUUUUCAGGAAAAAAAAAAAAGAAAGAAAAAAAAGCCAGUCAAAUUGAAAAGAAAGAAGAAAAAUUAUCUUUGCUCACAAAUGACAUGAACUUAUAAAACUCCUAGAAUUAAUAAAUGGAUGCUGCAAUGUUGAAGGAUACAAAAAUCAACACACAAAAAUCAGUUAUGUUUUUAUAUACUAACAAUGAAUGAGCCAAAAAUGAAAUUAAAACAAUUCCAUUUACAAUAGCAUCAGAAAGACUAAAAUACCUAACAAUAAACUUAACCAAGGAGGUAAAAUGCUUGAGUAUUUAGACACUAAAAAUUAUAAGGCCUGCACGGUGGUUCAUACCUGUAAUCCCAGCAUUUUGGGAGGCAGGUGGAUCACUUGAGGUUAGGAGUUUGAGACCAGCCUGGCC
rnacentral:lncRNA from 1 species